AGUUAUAUAUAGUCACAUAUGGUCAUAUACAUGUAGUUAUAUAUAGUCACAUAUGGUCAUAUACAUGUAGUCAUAUAUAGUCACAUAUGGUCAUAUACAUGUAGUUAUAUAUAGUCACAUAUAGUCAUAUACAUGUAGUCAUAUAUAGUCACAUAUGGUCAUAUACAUGUAGUCAUAUAUAGUCACAUAUGGUCAUAUACAUGUAAUUAUAUAUAGUCACGUUUAGUAGCAUGUA
rnacentral:lncRNA from 1 species